AUGAUGCUUGCGUCAUGGCUGAACGCGUGCUCUGGCUUGUUCCGGCCACUGUUCUCGUCUCCUCCCUCCUCGUCUCGACCUCCAUUCGUGUCCUGGAGCUCGCCCGUGCUCGACUGCAUCGCCCUGCGUUGCUGCUUCGUCGUGGUUCGCCAUCAAUGCGCCGCUAAGAGCAGUGCCCGUGCCAUGCCCAGCCUCUGACCUCCAUUAGAGCACUGCUCGAGCUCGCUAGCGAUGCUCCAGAGCCUCCCCCGGGCCUAUAUAUAGGACCCUCGACCCCUCCCGCAGCUCUUUCACUCCUCCCUCGCCUUUCUAAUCCACCGGAGCCCUCGGCCCCCUCUUCUUUUCGCCGGAGAUCGCCAUGGCCGCCUCGGUUCCUCCUCGGUUCCGGCGAACCUAGCCCCUCUCCUCUCCUCCAGAGCUGUCCACUAGUUUCCCCUCAUCCCCGCGGCCCGCACUAACCCUUUUCCACUCGCCGGAAAGCCCUCUGGCCGCGCCUCCCGGCGCUUGGCCGUCGCCGUUGCUCUCGGCCACCACCCCGACCGAGUCCAUCCGGAGCUCCUCCCCCUCUCCCGUCUCCACCACGGCACUCCCCAGACCUCCGCCAGCCUCCCCAUCUCCUCCGUUCGUCGCCAGAGUGCCCGCACCACCGGAGAACCCCGUCUCCCGAAGCUCCUGGCGCCUCCCGUCGCCGCGACCUCCCCUCCUCUCCAGUCCUCCCCGGCGCCGCCUUACCCUCUGAACGGGUGCGCCAUUGCCUCCCUCACCCGAUGGUGGCAUCGGCUCGGCCGGAGAUGGCCGGAGCCGGCCGGCCCCCUCGCCUGAGCUCCCCUGCCUGGCCUCGUUCCUCAUCUGUUCCUCGCGUGAGCGAACAGAGGGAGGAAGACGACGCCUUGCCAGCUGGCCAGGCGGGCCCCCCUCUCCAUCAGACCCCACCCAAAACGUAUUCGGUCCGAAGGCACGUUCAGUUUUUCCACCCAGGGGACUGUUUGCUGAAAAAGUUUCACCAAUAGGUCCCUGAUCUUCAACUCCUCACAACUUUUCAACCGUAACUCCAAAUGAGCCCCUCCGAGAGAGAACUGUUUCCGGCAAAUCUUUUCGCGGCUUCACCGCAUUUCUUCC